AACAACCUUGUUCCCGCAUCGGCACUUGGGUGGCACCCAAAAACCUAGCCACCGCCGCAUCUUCCAUACGCUCCCCUUCGCCUCACCGUGUUCCUGUACCAACAUUUUGGAUGGCCCAAAAUCCUAGCCUCUGCCACCUCUUUCCUCCUCUCCACUCUACCUCGCCAUGUUGGUGGACCGCAUCUGGACUGUUGGGGGAGGCGGUAUGUUGCACAAUGAUGGCGUGAGUGCCCGCGUGCUGAGCAACCACCUAGAGGUGGCGAUGCGAAUCAACGCUAUCAGAUAUUCAGAUCCGCGAUGGUCUCCACUAGAUCCAUGCCUGGAGAUCAAAAGUGGUAGGAACCACCUCCUCCAUGGCGUGCCGGCGCCGGCCAGCAGCACACUUGUUUAGAGAUCACGGUCGUAUCAAGCAAAGAUGUUGAAUCACGAAAAUAGAGCACCCACCAUUUGUCUCCACCAAUUGCGGUUGCAGCCAACCCUUUUGUGUAUGACCGUGUAUUGGCCAAUACUUGGCAUUUGCCCUCUUGUUAUCCUCAACUCUGCUACCUCCAGUUGUGAAGUCUGAAACUAAAUUGUGUCCUUUGUGUUUUCUACUGAGAAUUUGACAAACAGUGAUAUCCACUUGAAGACUUCUUAUCUUACACAUUGUUGCUAAGCUAUUACACCCUAGUCAACUGAAGAUAAUGUUGACAUCAACAGCUUAUCUGACAUUGCUCUCCAGGACUAACAACAUUCUCUAACCCAUAGAUGUGUCCCUUCUAAGAGCAUGUCUUCCUGUAAUCCUAUGGUUGCUUAAUAUUUUGAGCCAUUGUAGCAAACAGCAGUAAUAGGAUGUACCACCUGAUUCUUGUAUGUUGUUGGCUAAUGGAUCAUUUGUCUGAGUGCCUAAAGAGUAAUGGAACUAGAUAUACAGAUUUACAUUUGUAAAUUCAAAGACCAUAAUAUUGUUGACAAAUUAUUCCUA